rnacentral:rRNA from 1 species
AACGAACGCUGGCGGCAUGCCUAACACAUGCAAGUCGAACGAAACCUUCGGGUCUAGUGGCGCACGGGUGCGUAACGCGUGGGAACCUGCCCUUAGGUUCGGAAUAACUCCCCGAAAGGGGUGCUAAUACCGGAUAAGGUCUUCGGACCAAAGAUUUAUCGCCUUUGGAUGGGCCCGCGUUGGAUUAGCUAGUUGGUAGGGUAAAGGCCUACCAAGGCGACGAUCCAUAGCUGGUCUGAGAGGAUGAUCAGCCACACUGGGACUGAGACACGGCCCAGACUCCUACGGGAGGCAGCAGUGGGGAAUAUUGGACAAUGGGCGAAAGCCUGAUCCAGCCAUGCCGCGUGAGUGAUGAAGGCCUUAGGGUUGUAAAGCUCUUUUACCCGGGAUGAUAAUGACAGUACCGGGAGAAUAAGCUCCGGCUAACUCCGUG